GACGAACCGAGCGAACGUUAUUCGGAAUCACUGGGCUUAAAGGGCGCGUAGGCGGGCUGCCAAGUCAAGGGUGAAAGCCCCCGGCUCAACCGGGGAAGUGCCUCUGAUACUGGCGGCCUCGAGGGAGGUAGGGGCGUGCGGAACUUCCGGUGGAGCGGUGAAAUGCGUAGAUAUCGGAAGGAACACCGGUGGCGAAGGCGGCAUCCUGGACCAUUACUGACGCUGAGGCGCGAAAGCCAGGGGAGCAAACGGG
rnacentral:rRNA from 1 species